rnacentral:lncRNA from 1 species
GUCCCAAGUUAAGAUGUUCAGCCCUGAUGCACUUAAACAGCAAUUUUUUUCUUACUGCUGCUGUCUUUGUGUUUUUGUGUAUUCAGACUCUUGUACUGUGGGACCUUGGGAUGCCUUUGGAGCAGAGAUAUCUGAUAUUUCCAACCAGAUCCCUGAUAGAAAAAGAGGUUCUAUUCUUCAUAACUUCAGUAGGACUCAGAGAAGAGGGAAGCAGAGAGAAGUGUUGCUGGAACACAGGGAAGGAUCUCUCCUUGAGUGUCCCCUUGCCAAGAGCUGGGCCUCGUCAAGCUUCAGAUCACUCAGAUGUAGAAACAAUUCAGGACUUCCUUUAAAACCCAUCUGGCUUACUCAACCAAGUAGAACAAUAAAUCUUUAA